rnacentral:rRNA from 1 species
GUGGGGAAUUUUGGACAAUGGGCGCAAGCCUGAUCCAGCAAUGCCGCGUGCAGGAAGAAGGCCUUCGGGUUGUAAACUGCUUUUGUACGGAACGAAACGGUCCUGGUUAAUACCUGGGGCUAAUGACGGUACCGUAAGAAUAAGCACCGGCUAACUACGUGCCAGCAGCCGCGGUAAUACGUAGGGUGCGAGCGUUAAUCGGAAUUACUGGGCGUAAAGCGGGCGCAGGCGGUGCUGUAAGACAGGCGUGAAAUCCCCGGGCUCAAACUGGGAAUUGCGCUUGUGACUGCAGUGCUGGAGUACGGCAGAGGGGGAUGGAAUUCCGCGUGUAGCAGUGAAAUGCGUAGAUAUGCGGAGGAACACCGAUGGCGAAGGCAGUCCCCUGGGCCUGUACUGACGCUCAUGCACGAAAGCGUGGGGAGCAAACAGGAUUAGAAACCCGAGUAGUCC